rnacentral:snRNA from 1 species
GGAUCUGAGGGCGAUGUGGCUGCCACAUCUGUCCCUCCAUUGAUUGCCAGGAUGGGUUUGGCUGAUGUGGCUGGCUAGGCAGGUGUUCCCUUCCUCCCUCACUGCUCCAUGUGUGUCCCUCCCGAAGCUGUGCACUUGGUCAAAGAAGGACCACCCCCAAUAGAGGAGGCUGUUUCCUUGGUCAAGGUUAUACGAGUAGCUGCACUCCCCUGCUAGAGCCUCCAAACAAGUUCACAUUUUAGAUUUGUUCCAGCGGCUAGAAUUUUCUUAACUAGUGUAGAAAUU